rnacentral:tRNA from 2 species
GCCGAAGUGGUGGAAUUGGUAGACACGCAUGGUUCAGGACCAUGUGGGGGCAACCCUGUGGAGGUUCGAGUCCUCUCUUCGGCACCA